rnacentral:rRNA from 1 species
AACGAACACUGGCGGCAUGCCUAACACAUGCAAGUCGAACGAGACCUUCGGGUCUAGUGGCGCACGGGUGCGUAACGCGUGGGAAUCUACCCUUGGGAUCGGAACAACAGUUGGAAACGACUGCUAAUAACGUAUACGCCCUACGGGGGAAAGGUUUAUCGGAAUUAGAUGAGCCCGCGUAAGAUUAGCUAGUUGGUGGGGUAAAGGCCUACCAAGCCUACGAUCCGUAUCUGGUUGGAGAGGACGAUCAGCCACACAGGAAUUGAGAUACGGUCCUGACAUCAUUAGAUGGCAGCAGUGGGGAAUAUUGGACAAUGGGGGCAACCCUGAUCCAGCGAUGCCGCGUGAAUGAAGAAGAUAUUAAUAUUGUAAAGUUCUUUCACUCGUGACGAUAAUGACGGUAGCGAGAGAAGAAGCACCGGCUAACUCUGUGCCAGCCGCCGCAGUAA